UACGUAGGGCGCAAGCGUUGUCCGGAAUUAUUGGGCGUAAAGAGCUCGUAGGCGGCUUGUCACGUCGGGUGUGAAAGCCCGGGGCUUAACCCCGGGUCUGCAUUCGAUACGGGCAGGCUAGAGUGUGGUAGGGGAGAUCGGAAUUCCUGGUGUAGCGGUGAAAUGCGCAGAUAUCAGGAGGAACACCGGUGGCGAAGGCGGAUCUCUGGGCAUCUCCUGACGCUGAGGCGCGAAAGCGUGGGGAGCAAACGGG
rnacentral:rRNA from 1 species